CCAUCUUGUUGCUCCCUUCCUAUAGGCAGAAACUAAAUUAGGAAGCGCCCGUACUUAGGUCUAUCCAACGCUGGUCUGACCAAUCGGAUUCCACGCUUCGAGAUUGUUUCAAUCACUGGGAUAUGGACUGGGAUAUGUUCAGGGUAGCCUCAGAGAAUAACAUGGAUGUAUACGCUGACUUGGUGAGCGAGUUUAUUAGGAAGUGUGUAGGAGAUAUUGUACCCACUGUGACAAUUAAGACCUUCCCUAACCAGAAACCGUGGAUGAAUGGCAGCAUUCGCGCUAAACUGAAAGCACGUUCCACCGCAUUUAAUCAUGGCAAGGCGACUGGGAAUAUGGCUGAAUACAAACAGUGUAGUUAUUCCCUCCAUAAGGCAAUCAAAUAAGCAAUGUGUCAGUAUAGAGACAAAGUGGAUUCGCAAUUCAACGGCUCAAACAUGACACGUGGCAGGGUCUACAGACAAUCAUGGAUUACAAACAGAACACUAGCCCCGUCGCAGACAUUGACAUCCUGCUUCCAGACAAACUAAACACCUUCUUUGCCCACUUUGAGGACAAUACAGUGCCACCGACGCGGCCCACUUACCAAAGACUGUGGGCUCUCCUCCGUGGCCAACGUGAGUAAAACAUUUAAACGUGUUAACCCUCGCAAUCCCCACAUGCUUCAAGAUGGCCACCAUUGUUCCUGUUCCCAAGAAAGCAAAGGUAACUGAACUAAAUGACUAUUGCCCCGUAGCACUCACUUUUGUCAUCAUGAAGUGCUUUGAGAAACUAGUCAAGGACUAUAUCACCUCCACCCUACCUGACACCCUAGACCCACUCCCAUUUGCUUACCGCCGCAAUAGGUCCACAGACAAUGCAAUCGCCAUCACACUGCACACUGCCCUAUCCCAUCUGGACAAGAGGAAUACCUAUGUAAGAAUGCUGUUCAUUGACUCCAGCUCAGCAUUCAACACCAUAGUAACCUCCAAACUCAUCAUUAAGCUUGAGACCCUGGGUCUCGACCCCACCCUGUGCAAUUGGGUUCUGGACUUCCUGACGGGCCACCCCCAGGUGAUGAAGGUAGGAAACAACAUCUCCACUCCGUUGAUCCUCAACACUAGGGCCCCACAAGGGUGCGUUCUCAGCCCCCUCCUGUACUCCCUGUUCACCCACAACUGUGUGGCUAUGCACGCCUCCAACUCAAUCAUCAAGUUUGCAGAUGACACAACUUGAUUACCAACAACGGCGAGACAGCCUACAGGGAGGAGGGGAAGGCUCUCGGAAUGUGGUGUCAGGAAAAUAACCUCACUCAAUGUCAGCAAGACAAAAGAGAUGCUCAUGGACUUCAGGAAACAGCAAAGGGAGCACCCCACUAUCCAUAUCAACAGGACAGUAGUGGAGAAGGUGAAAGGUUUUAAGUUCCUCGGUGUACAUAUCACCGACAAUCUGAAAUGGUCCACCCACACAGACAGUGUGUUGAAGAAGGCGCAACACCGCCUCUUCAACCUCAGGAGGCUGAAUAAAUGUGGCUUGUCAUUGAAAACCCUCACUAACGUUUACAGGUGCACAAUUGAGAGCAUCUUGUCGGGCUGUAUCACCGCCUGGUACAGCAACUGCACCACCCACAACCACAGGGCUCUCCAGAGGGUGGUGCGGUCUGCACAACAUAUCACCGGGGCAAACUACCUGCCCUCCAGGACACCUACAACACCCGAUGUCACAGGAAGGCAAAAAAGAUCAUGAAGGACAAUAACCACCCGAGCCACUGCCUGUUCACCCUGCUUCUAUCCAGAAGGCAAGACGCAGAGGUGGCAGAGAGGGAAUUGGUGUCGUGUUGGACUCUCCUGGCCUGUGUUGCCCCAGUCUCAGUCUUGUUUUGCACCCUCUGUCUCUUUGGACUCUGUUUCCAGUCAGGAAGUGGAUCUGCAAUAUGCCAGUCUGAAGCACGUUGGUAAUGCCCGCCCCGCUGAUCAGCGAGUGCCAGGAUUGGCCCAGGGGGAUGUCACCUAUGCAACAGUGGCCCAAUGUGUUCACACAGGCACAUGAUACAUCACAUGUACUUCUGACAUGGUUCUUGGAAUAUCCAUUCUUGAUGGAAAUAAGAUUGUAUUUUGAUUCAUGCAUGUAUGUGUGUCUCUGUAAAUGUUGAAAAGGCUAAUGUAAUAAUUAUUGUUAAUGUUCUCCAAAGAAUCUCAAUAAAAACAUUUUAAGGCAACAGGAUAUAGAAUUAGUUGGAUAAAAUAAUCAUAUCUUGGGUACCUUGAAAGGCGCAAAUAAAUGUACUAUAUUAUUAAAGAGCAACUUUUGUAAAAUGUAGUUGUACUGUAAUAAAACUAAAUAAAAUACGAA
ensembl:lncRNA